CUGAUGGAAUUGCUAUGUUCUUAAUAAGCUUUGUUUUCACAAUAAUGUAGAUUCUUUUGUUAAAGACACCACGUUUAGCUUUCUUUCUGAUCUGAACAGCCGAACGUUCAAGUUGGCUUAAGCUAUAUUUUGUGCCGGCCCAUAUUUUUGAGCUUUUUAAUUAAGGGGUCAUCCAUAGGCAAGCUCAUCGGUUGCUGUAUAUUCUACAAUAGCUAUCUUUAUCCAAAACCCAUUUCUGAAGUAUGUAAAUCUGCAGUAUUUAAUUAGCAGCAUUUAAUCUGCUCUAUUCAAGCUCGAUUGAAUCAGCUAUUUAAUCAGCCAUUUGUUGGAUGCUGCUUAUUGAAAUGUAUUAAACUCACCUCUCAUUGAAGCUGAUUUGAGUUACCUAGAGGUACAAAGGGGAUACUCGAGUGAUACCAAGUAGGUUCCAGAAUCCAGACCACCAGGAAAAGAAGAUUUUUUUUUCUUGUUCGUUGGCUACCAGCAAACCAAGCCGGUAACCAAACCAAUUACGGCUCACUCAAUUUAUAAAUAAGUAUCAUUUGUUAUCUAAUGAGAAGUAUGGCUUUAGGGAAAAUUGCAGUACAGAGGAUGCACUUAUAAAGGUAACCAACCACAUUGUCUCUGGUUUAA